rnacentral:lncRNA from 1 species
CCCUUCAGGACAUGGGUUAUGAGAUUUUUUCUCAUGCGCAACUUCAAUCUCAAAUAUUUUUUAAAUUUCAAAUGGAAAAGCUACUUGAAAUUUUUUGUAUCUUCCUAUAAUUUAGUUUUCUAGACACACAUACAAUAAAAAAAUUUUUUUUUGAUUAAAAAUAAUAAAAAAAUAAUUUUUUUUAGAGGACAUGAGAUUUUUUCUCAUGGCCAGAGUAUUAAAAGGUGGGAGAUUUUAGCUUUCGUUUCUUAUUCGGCCGAGUUCGGCUCAUUUCGCAGUCCGCGUCCGCCAUAUUUAUUUACAUCAUACUUAACCGCCAAAAUAAUAGUGUAAUAUUGUGCUGUGUUUACCUACAUAAAUAUGUAAAAUUUAUAAUUUAAUAUUUAAUAUUUUUCAAAUAAAUAAUAUUAAGAGGUUUAAUAAACUCUAAGAACAUUAAAAAUUAAAAAUAAAUAACGUUUUCGUAAGAAAACUGAAUUAUAAUGUUCUAUGCGCAUGCGCAGAAGCCAUGAGAUUUUUUCUCAUGGCCAGAGUAAAUAAGGUGAGUCAAAACACCCAUGUCCUGAAGGGUUAA